CCCCAUCUUGGCAGCUAUGACGCCACUUAUAUGCUGCUGAGCCAGCCUGAAAGCACAUGGUGAUUUAUUUAUACUAAACAGCUGCAGAGGUCAUUUCAAGUGCUUCACAGAGAUGCCAUCAUGUGAGCCCAACCUGCCAAAAGGAGACCUCCUCAGUUACAGUGAUGACAGAAUCUCUGCAGUAGCCUCUGGCAAGUCCCUUCAUCUGUCACUGACCUGGAGUGUCCCAGCUGUGUGAACAGCCCUGGCAGCACUGACACUGAGAGGUCAGUCAGCCUUUGAGUUGGCUGUGGUGGGAGUUCAGCUGUCUCCUGCCUGGAUGUGCAGCCCAUGGCCACGUGCUCAUCAAUGGAGCAGCAGCAAGGCUGGGGGACAAGCAGAAAAUGGGAGACCCGUGUCUCAGAAAAAUAUGGAUCAUAUGCCUGCUUCACGCAGCUUAACCACAGUACUGAGCACAGAGUGCCCAGGAUCUUCAAAGGGCCAUCAGAGAUACUGGAAUUAUUGCUCAAAAAUGACUUUGAAGGUAAAGACACCAAGGAAGUAUUACUAAAAAACAUUGUGUCAGUGGUGUAAUUAUUUUCCACCGGGACUAGAAAUGUAGCCUCUUUUUGAAGCCAGGACAGAUAGUAGGGAAUAGCUACAGAAUAGUUCCAUACUGAAACUUAAAUGUUUACAUGAUUACCAAGGCCUCCUACCAGUCCUCGUUGAUUUUUUUCUGAGCUGUUUGCAUACUUUUUUGCCAGCAACCUGUAUGAUCAGUGACUUCUAAAAACUCUGAACUCCAUUCUUUCAGCACAAGUAGCAGUACAUUACCCUGCUGAAAAUAGUAAGACACACAGAUAUCAACGAAGAGCAAAGCAGAAGAUGAAGCCUUGCAAAGAAAAUUAAAAAUCUACUCUUCAGGCUGCCUCAAAUUAUUCAGAAAAAAAUCAAUUGUAAGAGUAAUAAAAAUAAACAGCAGGAUUGCUAUCUCUGAAA